GACGAACGCUUGCGGCGUGCUUAACACAUGCAAGUCGAACGGAAAGGCCCUGCUUUUGUGGGGUGCUCGAGUGGCGAACGGGUGAGUAACACGUGAGUAACCUGCCCUUGACUUUGGGAUAACUUCAGGAAACUGGGGCUAAUACCGGAUAGGAGCUCCUGCUGCAUGGUGGGGGUUGGAAAGUUUCGGCGGUUGGGGAUGGACUCGCGGCUUAUCAGCUUGUUGGUGGGGUAGUGGCUUACCAAGGCUUUGACGGGUAGCCGGCCUGAGAGGGUGACCGGCCACAUUGGGACUGAGAUACGGCCCGGACUCCUACGGGAGGCAGCAGUGGGGAAUAUUGCACAAUGGGCGGAAGCCUGAUGCAGCAACGCCGCGUGCGGGAUGACGGCCUUCGGGUUGUAAACCGCUUUCGCCUGUGACGAAGCGUGAGUGACGGUAAUGGGUAAAGAAGCACCGGCUAACUACGUGCCAGCAGCCGCGGUGAUACGUAGGGUGCGAGCGUUGUCCGGAUUUAUUGGGCGUAAAGGGCUCGUAGGUGGUUGAUCGCGUCGGAAGUGUAAUCUUGGGGCUUAACCCUGAGCGUGCUUUCGAUACGGGUUGACUUGAGGAAGGUAGGGGAGAAUGGAAUUCCUGGUGGAGCGGUGGAAUGCGCAGAUAUCAGGAGGAACACCAGUGGCGAAGGCGGUUCUCUGGGCCUUUCCUGACGCUGAGGAGCGAAAGCGUGGGGAGCGAACAGGCUUAGAUACCCUGGUAGUCCACGCUGUAAACGGUGGGUACUAGGUGUGGGGUCCAUUCCACGGGUUCCGUGCCGUAGCUAACGCUUUAAGUACCCCGCCUGGGGAGUACGGCCGCAAGGCUAAAACUCAAAGGAAUUGACGGGGCCCCGCACAAGCGGCGGAGCAUGCGGAUUAAUUCGAUGCAACGCGUAGAACCUUACCUGGGUUUGACAUGGAUCGGGAGUGCUCAGAGAUGGGUGUGCCUCUUUUGGGGUCGGUUCACAGGUGGUGCAUGGCUGUCGUCAGCUCGUGUCGUGAGAUGUUGGGUUAAGUCCCGCAACGAGCGCAACCCUUGUUCACUGUUGCCAGCACGUUAUGGUGGGGACUCAGUGGAGACCGCCGGGGUCAACUCGGAGGAAGGUGGGGAUGACGUCAAGUCAUCAUGCCCCUUAUGUCCAGGGCUUCACGCAUGCUACAAUGGCUGGUACAGAGAGUGGCGAGCCUGUGAGGGUGAGCGAAUCUCGGAAAGCCGGUCUCAGUUCGGAUUGGGGUCUGCAACUCGACCUCAUGAAGUCGGAGUCGCUAGUAAUCGCAGAUCAGCAACGCUGCGGUGAAUACGUUCCCGGGGCU
rnacentral:rRNA from 1 species